rnacentral:rRNA from 1 species
GACGAACGCUGGCGGCGUGCUUAACACAUGCAAGUCGAACGGAAAGGCCCUGCUUUUUUGGUUUGCUCGAGUUGCGAACGGGUGAGUAACACUUGAGUAACCUGCCCUUGACUUUGAGAUAACUUCAGGAAACUGGGGCUAAUACCGGAUAGGAGCUCCUGCUUCAUGGUGGGUGUUGGAAAGUUUCGGCGGUUGGUGAUGGAGACGCGGCUUAUCAGCUUGUUGGUGGGGUAGCGGCCUACCAAGGCGACGAUGAGUAGGCGUCCUGAGAGUGUGACCGGUCACAGUGGAACUGGGACACGGUCCAAACUCCUACGGGAGGCAGCAGUGAGGAAGAUUGAUCAAUGGGCGAGAGCAUUAUCCAGCCAAGUAGCGUGCAGGAUGACGGCCCUAUGGGUGGUAAACUGCGUUUAUGCGGGGAUAAAGUGAGGGACGGGUCCGUCAUUGCAGGUACCGCAUGAAUAAGGACCGGCUAAUUCCGUG